rnacentral:rRNA from 1 species
UACGUAGGUGGCAAGCGUUGUCCGGAAUUAUUGGGCGUAAAGCGCGCGCAGGUGGUUCCUUAAGUCUGAUGUGAAAGCCCACGGCUCAACCGUGGAGGGUCAUUGGAAACUGGGGAACUUGAGUGCAGAAGAGGAAAGUGGAAUUCCAAGUGUAGCGGUGAAAUGCAUAGAGAUUUGGAGGAACACCAGUGGCGAAGGCGACUUUCUGGUCUGUAACUGACACUGAGGCGCGAAAGCGUGGGGAGCAAACAGG